CGGGGGAGGCGGGAUCCUGGGCUGUGUCCCGGCGAUCUGUGCUCCGGAGCUAUCGCUGGUGGAUUCGCGCUCCCGGGCCGCGCAACCCCG
rnacentral:pre_miRNA from 1 species